GUAACAGAUGUGGUUUCUGUUGGAGAACCUGUUGUUGUGGUAGCCCCUGUGUUGAUGGGUGUAGAUGACAUUGAUGUGAGAUCAGGUGAUGUUGUUGUUUGAACAGCUGGUGUUGUGGGGGUUAAUGAAAUUGUUGUGACAGCUUCUGUUGGUGUUGUGGGACCAGAUGUGGUAGAUAUUUUAGCAGGAGUGGUUGCUGUGGCAGCAACUGUUGUUGUUGUUUCAGACUCUGUUGUUGAGGGAGUAGCAGAAGUUGUUGUGACAUCAAGUGAUGUUGUUGUUGCAACAGAUGUUGUUGUGGGAUUUGCUGAAAUUGUUGUGACAGCAGCUGAUGUUGUUAUGGGACCAGAUGUGGUAGUCAUAUCAGCAGGUGUGGUUGCUGUUUCUGUAAAACCUGUUGUUCCAAACGCUGUUGUUGUUGGUAGAGCUGUUGUGGUCAUUGAGGUAACAGAUGUUGUUUCUGUUGGAGAACCUGUUGUUGUGGUAGCCCCUGUGUUGAUGGGUGUAGUUGACAUUGAUGUGAGAUCAGGUGAUGUUGUUGUUUGAACAGCUAGUGUUGUGGGGGUUAAUGAAAUUGUUGUGACAGCUUCUGUUGGUGUUGUGGGCCCAGAUGUGGUAGAUAUUUUAGCAGGAGUGGUUGUGGUGGCAGCAACUGUUGUUGUUGCUCCAGACUCUGUUGUUGUGGGAGUAGAAGAAAUUGUUGUGACAUCAAGUGAUGUUGUUGUUGCAACAGAUGUUGUUGUGGGAUUUUCUGAAAUUGUUGUGACAGAAGCUGAUGUGGUUAUGGGACCAGAUGUGGUAGUCAUAUCAGCAGGUGUGGAUGCUGUUUCUGUAAAACCUGUUGUUCCAAACGCUGUUGUUCUUGGUAGAGCUGUUGUGGUCAUUGAGUGAACAGAUGUGGUUUCUGCUGGUGAACCUGUUGUUGUUGUAGCCCCUGUGUUGAUGGGUGUAGUUGACAUUGAUGUGAGAUCAGGUGAUGUUGUUGUUUGAACAGCUGGUGUUGUGGGGGUUAAUGAAAUUGUUGUGACAGC
ensembl:lncRNA